rnacentral:tRNA from 1 species
GAAUGGCUCAUAGCCGGUUAGAGUGCUUGCUGCCCCGAAGGCUUUCGGGGAAGAGGUCAUCGGUUCGACUCCGAUAUUCUCCA